CGAGCGCCUAGUCGAUGGCGCCCGCCUUUUUCAAAAAGGUGCGCAGGAUGUUGCGGCUCAGGUUCAAAUGCCUGGCCGUGCGU
rnacentral:tRNA from 1 species